GACGAACGCUGGCGGCGUGCUUAACACAUGCCAGUCGAACGGAAAGGCCUGCUUUCCCUUGUGGAUUGCGGGUACUCGAGUGGCGAACGGGUGAGUAACACGUGAGUGAUCUGCCCCCAACUUGGGUAUAAGCCUGGGAAACUGGGUCUAAUUCCCGAUAGGACUGCAGGGUGGUGCCUGUGGUGGAAAACGAUUUUCUAGUGGUUGGGGAUGAGCUCGCGGCCUAUCAGCUUGUUGGUGGGGUAAUGGCCUACCAAGGCGGCGACGGGUAGCCGGCCUGAGAGGGUGGACGGCCACAUUGGGACUGAGAUACGGCCCAGACGCCUACGGGAGGCAGCAGUGGGGAAUAUUGCACAAUGGGCGGAAGCCUGAUGCAGCGACGCCGCGUGGGGGAUGACGGCCUUCGGGUUGUAAACUCCUUUCGACCGCGAGGAAGCCACCUGGUUGGAAGGGUGGUGACGGUAGUGGUAGAAGAAGCACCGGCUAACUACGUG
rnacentral:rRNA from 1 species